rnacentral:lncRNA from 1 species
AGAGAAGCAGCAGCGAGGCACGCAAAAGAAACAACACAAGCUCGAGAAAGGUGGAAAACUGCAAGAGAUGUUGCCAAAAACCCUAAGAUGGGAUUAACUGCACAACUAUCUCAAACAUUUUCUCGCAUGACAUCUAAGAAAGAUACACCUGAUAAAGCAUCUGGAAAGUCCAAGGACAAGAAAAAAGGACCGAGUAACUUGACCAAGAUGAUGAAAUCAAUGGAAGACAACUCGAGUAACCAUGAAGGGUUUAAUGUUGGAACUGGAGGUAGUAAGCCUGGGAAGAAGCCUCAAGCUCCAAAGGGUAAACAGCUUCAUACUCAAAGUCAGAUCUUUAAGUACGCGUAUGGUCAAAUAGAGAAGGAGAAAGCUAUGGAGCAAAACAACCAGAACUUGACAUUCUCAGGAGUUAUCUCCAUGGCCCAAGACACUGAGAUUAGGUCUAGGCCUGUGAUAGAGGUUGCGUUUAAGGAUUUAACUCUUACUUUGAAGGGUAAACAUAAGCAGAUAUUGAGAUCUGUUACCGGAAAGAUCAUGCCUGGCCGUGUUUCCGCAGUAAUGGGUCCAUCAGGAGCUGGAAAAACUACAUUUCUUUCUGCCUUGGCAGGAAAGUCAACCGGAUGUACUAGGGCUGGUCUAAUCCUCAUAAAUGGUAAAAAUGAAUCUAUAAACUCAUACAAGAAGAUUACUGGAUUUGUACCACAAGAUGAUGUUGUCCACGGAAAUCUCACCGUCGAGGAGAACCUUCGUUUUAGCGCAAGAUGCAGGUAAGUCUUAGAAGUUAGAACAAGCUUUUAUACUAGAAUACAUGAUGCAUAAUGUUCUAUUGAUUCUGGAAGUGAAUUAAAUUUCAAUGCACCAGUAAAAGACCGCAUUAAUUCAUUAAAUGUGACUUAAAUCUUUAAGUGUUAUUGUUUUCUUUGUGCUUGAUUAGCGUUUGUUCACAACACGUUCACAUAUGUUUCUUUUACAUUCAGGCUGAGUGCUUAUAUGCCAAAAGCAGAAAAGGUGUUGAUCAUUGAAAGAGUGAUUGAAAGCUUAGGACUACAACAUGUAAGAGACUCAUUGGUUGGCACGGUAGAAAAAAGAGGAAUCUCCGGAGGACAAAGGAAACGAGUGAACGUUGGUAAUGAAAUGGUCAUGGAACCUUCUCUAUUGAUAUUAGAUGAACCUACCACAGGUUUAGAUAGUGCAUCUUCUCAGUUACUACUUAGAGCACUUCGACGUGAAGCAGUUGAAGGGGUUAACAUUUGCAUGGUCGUGCAUCAACCCAGGUACGAUAUAUAUGUCCAUAAUGUAUUAGUAUUUUUUUUUUAACGUUAUAAUCACAAUAUAAAUAACGAGUUCUUUUUUUUUGUUUUAUCAGUUAUACGAUGUACAAAAUGUUCGAUGACAUGAUAUUACUAGCAAAAGGUGGUCUUACCGCGUACCAUGGAUCUGUCAAAAAAAUCGAAGAGUAUUUUGCUGGAAUAGGUAUCACGGUUCCUGAUCGUGUUAAUCCGCCUGAUCAUUAUAUAGAUAUUCUUGAAGGCAUCGUUAAACCAAAUAGUGAUAUCACUAUAGAACAACUUCCCGUGAGAUGGAUGCUUCACAAUGGUUAUCCAGUGCCACAUGAUAUGUUAAAGCUAUGUGAUGGACUCCCAUCAUCAUCUGGAUCAGCUCAAAAUGAUUCCACUGACAAUUCUUUUAGUAAUGAUCUAUGGCAAGAUGUUAAAACAAAUGUGGAGAUACAAAAAGAUCAGCUACAAGACAAUUACUCCAAUUCUCAAGACAAUUCUAAUCGAGUAACUCCUACUGUAGGUCGACAGUAUAGAUAUUUUAUGGGAAGGUAUGAUUUUUCUAGAAUUUGAUAGAAUGAAAAACCUAGUAAUGUUCAUCAUGUCUACGUUAAAGUUUUGUUUAUAUGUUUCAGGAUUGGGAAACAAAGACUUAGAGAAGCAAGACUACAAGCCCUAGAUUUACUAAUAUUAUUAGUUGCAGGAGCUUGUUUAGGAACUCUUGCAAAGGUGAAUGAUGAGACGAUUAAUUCACUUGGCUACACAUACACGAUUAUAGCAGUCUGUAAGUUGUGAAAGUACACAAAUAUUGAUUUGAUUAAUCAGAACUUGCAGUAGUUUUGGAAAAUUAACCAAGGUUUAUUUUUCUUGUAGCUCUUUUGUGUAAGAUUUCAGCGCUGAGAUCAUUCUCUGUAGAUAAAAUACAAUAUUGGAGAGAAAGUGCCGCUGGAAUCAGCAGCUUAGCGCAUUUCAUGGCCAAAGACACAAUGGAUCAUCUGAACACAAUUAUCAAACCUUUAGUGUACUUGUCCAUGUUCUACUUCUUCAACAACCCGAGAUCUAGUUUCGAAGACAACUAUAUUGUGCUAGUGUGUUUGGUCUACUGUGUAUUUAUGUUCAAAACGUAUAAAUGACUUUUCUCCUUACUGAUUUUGUUGUUGUUUUGUUAUAAUGCCUGUUACUAGUUUUGGCAAAAACCUAAGUCAAAUCAUUGUCGUAGAUUAACAAAGAAUGUUAUCGGGCAACACACGCAUUCGUGCAACCGAAGCAAUCAUCUAUGUUAUGCUUCACCAAAAAAAAAAAAAUAUAUAUAUAUAUAUAUAUAGAGCCACCCGUUUCUAUUUAUGGUAAACCAAUUAUAUAUUUAAAGAAAAACCUCUCAUUUUUCUCAGCCAUUUUUGCAUUUGCUACAAACAUGGAUCUCCUUCCAUGGCUCUUACGGUGACUAUUCUCAACUCUUUUUUUUCACACAAGACUCUCAUUUUUCACCUUUCCUACAUUGAUCUCUAGUCGUUACCAUUUCAAGUUUUCUUAUUUUGUAUUGUAACAAGCUCGUUAGUUUUUAUUUAAAUCCUUCCUCUCCCCAAAAAACUUGUUUUUCUCUGUCUUUGUCUUUUUAUAAGACGACUGAACUUUUGUUCUCAAGACAUGAUAGAGAGAAACAUAUUACGUUUCAACAAAUAUUUCUAUUGGUAGCUUCCAAUGUAUCCAUUCUACUGUUUGUUCAAAAAAUUCAACUAUUUUGGCUCAAACAGUUUUGAUUUUUUUCUCCAAAACUUUGAUUGAAAACGAUGAGACGACUUCGGAUUGAUGUUGGUUGGUUACAACACAUCUUGUUCUUCUUCGUUUGUGGCUUGGGGUUUAUAUCGCUUGCAUCAUGUUUAGAUGGAGAUGAUUACAGCAAAACAGGAAAUCCAAAAGUUCUUGUUCCCGUUACAAACCUGAUAUAUAACCGGCUUCAGAGUCUAAAGAAUGUCUUAAAGGCUGAUAUUGAUCGGGAUUUAGGAUAUUGCAUAAAAAAUUUGUAAGUAUAUAUUCUCAAAAAAAAAUUGUAAGUAUAUUCGAUAUUUGAGCAUAUACGUAUUUAGACAUAUAUUUGCCUAUAACUUAUUGAUAUAAUUCAGGAAGGACGAUUGGGAUGAAGCAUUUGAUUUUGAUAAAAAUCUGGACUUUUUAAGCAAUUGUAUCAAGAAAACCGAUGGUAAAAAGGAGAACUGUUUUAAAAAAAAACAUUUAUUACGUCAAACAUUUAAACAUUUUCAUAUUCUUGUUUUUCAGGUGACAUCACACUUAGACUAUGUUCAGCUGCUGAGAUAAAAUUCUAUUUCAGUAGUUUUAUUAGAAGGGAUGAAGUAACAACGGUUCAUGUAAAACCUAAUGUCAACUGCAAUUUGGCUAAAUGGGUUUCUGGAUGCGAACCGGGAUGGAGUUGUAAUGCAGAUGAUGAUAAAAAGUUUGAUAUCAAAAAUGGAAAAGUUCUUCCAUCUAGAACUCGUAAAUGCCAACCUUGUUGCGAGGGCUUCUUUUGUCCACAAGGUCUUGCUUGCAUGAUACGUAAGAUAUCCAUAUACAUAUACAUGUUAAUGUUAUAUCAAUAUUAUUACUAUGACUUUAACCUAACAUCUUCAUUGUUGUUUACUCUUUGACUUAUGUAAAUGGAGCUUGUCCAUUAGGUGCAUAUUGCCCACUUGCCAAGCUUAAUAAAGCAACAGGAGUUUGCGAGCCGUAAGUUGCUCAUUCUCUAGAUAAAUUUACUACUUUUAUGAAGAAAUAAUAUUAAUGGUUGAUUAAAGAGUUUUUCUUUGCAGAUAUAAUUACCAAAUCCCUCCUGGAAAGUUGAACCACACGUGCGGUUCUGCAGAUAGUUGGGCUGAUGCUGAGAGUAGUGGUGAUAUGUUUUGUUCUCCAGGUUCAUAUUGUCCAACGACGAUUCGAAAGGUCACUUGUGGUAGUGGGUAUUGAUUCUUUAUCUCACAACUUAUGCGUCGAUUGAUUUGUCAUAUAUGAGAUAUCCCUCAAAUUUGUUACAUUAAGAAUGCAAUGUGUGAUAAUAACAACAAACACAGUAUUUGCUUUUAUAUACAUAUAAAGUUAAUGAUCUGAUCAAACAUUUUCAUGUGUUAUUCAGACAUUACUGCAGACAAGGUUCUACUUCACAAAAACGUAAUUUUUUAAAAACCAGAGAAAAUGAUUUUUUUAUUAUAAAGUACAUAUGAAGUUUAUAUAAUUAUUAAUCUUUUCUUGGUGGCUAUUUUAGCAUGCUUCAAGCUCGCAACUUGUAAUCCAAAUACUGCAAACCAAAAUAUUCAUGCAUAUGGAGCCAUCUUAAUCGUAAGUUAGUUGAUGAGAAGAAAUUAAACUAUAUAUAUUACAUUUUUAUUUGUUUUUUCCUUGUUUAAAUUAGAGUUUCUGUAUUUAUUGUUUAUGUAGGCGUCAGUAAGUCUUGUAAUGAUCAUGGUUUACAACUGCUCCGAUCAAGUUCUUGCCACUCGAGAAAAGAGACAAGCCAAAUCUAGAGAAGCAGCAGCGAGGCACGCAAAAGAAACAACACAAGCUCGAGAAAGGUGGAAAACUGCAAGAGAUGUUGCCAAAAACCCUAAGAUGGGAUUAACUGCACAACUAUCUCAAACAUUUUCUCGCAUGACAUCUAAGAAAGAUACACCUGAUAAAGCAUCUGGAAAGUCCAAGGACAAGAAAAAAGGACCGAGUAACUUGACCAAGAUGAUGAAAUCAAUGGAAGACAACUCGAGUAACCAUGAAGGGUUUAAUGUUGGAACUGGAGGUAGUAAGCCUGGGAAGAAGCCUCAAGC